ensembl:lncRNA
GUCUUCCAGGUGUGCAUGUGGUAUGUUUGGCUUUGUUUUAGUUUUAGUUUUUUUCAGCCCUUGCUGAGCGUUGAAUCUUAAUGUGUUAAUUCCUAAACUGAGAAGUUUCCAAGAUUAAAGUAGGUAGGGUUCAUGCAAGGUCUGUAGCUGUUUCUGGGCAUGUUGUUAUCUGCUACUGUCUGGGUUAGUGUGCAGUACUGGAGAACUAACAGGCUGCUCCUUCACCUGGUCAUCACUCCGAGGCACAUCACCGUUCUGAAGAGUGUCAGGUGGUGGAAGAAGCUGUGCUUGCAUCUGCCUUGCUGGGCAGACUUGGUUUGUGUUAAACAAGAACGCAGGCAUUUAAAGACUGCACAGGCAGGAGUAGUUAAAUGUGUGCAUUGUCACCCAUUCGCUGCCUAACGGUGACAUACAUACAAUCCCAGGUCAGUGCUUACAGCUGUAAUUGGGCAGUUUUGUUACAAGUACAGUUAGCGGGGAUAGGUUUUGUAGACAGCUUCUCAAAACUAAAUCGGUUCCCUCUCUUUGUUGCUUGCUUCGUUUUGUUGUCUUUGGCAGCUACUGGACAAAUUCAAUCUGGUUGAGAAAAAAAGUAAUGUAAGCAGGCUUCACGUGUAGAUUUUGGAUUCAGAGUAGCAUAGGUCUCCACCCUAUUUCAUCUACGUAAGGAUUUGGUGGCUGGUGGAAUAGCUCCAGCUUAUUUUUUUAGGUUCUGUAGUGUCCUUAUUUCCCACAGUCUCCUUGAAAAUAAUAUUAGUCAUUUCUCUGGCAUAACCGUAUGUUUGUGCUUUUUGGUUUGUUGCUAAAUUAGAUGUCGUGAACAGAGUCUAAUAUUCCUGUUUCUAGCCUCUCCCCAGUUAAGAAGGGGGAUUGGGAUUUUUUUUAGUUAUUUGUUUUUAACGCUCUUACUUACUGAUUCCUAAAUUCACCGUAAAUCACAUUAACUCCUGCACUUGUGGCAGGGCUCCCAGAGCCUUACAGUGCCACACUGCCACACUGCUGGGGGGGGCAGACUCUUUUCAGUGGUGUGCAGCGAUAGAACAAUGGGCAACAGGGAAAACUGGAGCAUAGGGAGUUCCAUACAAACACGAGGAAUAACUUUCCUGUCAGAGUGACAAAGCACAGGAACAGGUGGUCCAGAGAGGUGGAGUGAUCUCCUGUGCAGAUAUUCCCAACCCAUUUGGAUGCCUAGCUUUCCUUCCAACCCCUGCCGAUCUGUGAUCCCUGUGGGUCCCCUCCAGCUUGGGUGUUGAAUGAAGACGAACCCCAUAUGCACCUGCGUCCCCCUAGUUUUGGUCAUCUACCCACGCUGCAUAUCAAGCUCUGCUUCCCAAUUUAGACCACCUACACCCCCAUUUCAGCUGUGCCCUCCAAUUUGAGUAAUCCAGUCCCCUCUACAUUCAGUUUCCCCCCAGUGAGGACCAUCUGCCUCCCCCACUGCAGCUGCGCCUAGCCAGUUUGAGCCAUCUGCCUCCCACUUUGGAACUCCCC